GAGUCCACCUGCCUCCCUCCGCCCGGCCCAGCCCGGCCCGGCCCGACACUUACGAUCUCGGCUACGAUCAGGAGCCCCGGCGGGGUACGGAGGAACUCUCGGUCGUAAGCGAAGCUGCUGCUGGUGGUGGAGAAGUUCUCCGCAAAGGAGCUGGUAGUGGUGGUGACCGUGUGCGAGCGCGCGCGCUGCUGCUCUUCCAUCGUCGCCCCGGGAGCUGGCCCGGGUCCCCGAGGACCCUACCCCCACCCAAUGAGUUCCCUGGGCUCAGGAUCGCGGGCCAGGGAAUCGCGGAUGAUGGGAGGCGGGCAAACCCGGGUGAUCUCCAGGGUCAGGUCCGCAAGUGUCCCAACACCUCGGCGAGCGCACUCUGGGUCUGCUCGGAGACCCGGGAACGGGAUCGCUGGCGACCGGUGGCAGUGGACUGCGGGGGAGGGGAGAGAAGAGGAGGGGCGUAGACUGGGCGGGUGAGGGCGGGCACUCCAGGACCUCCCCUCGGGGGCGCCGCCGCGCGGCCACAGCACCUGUCUCCCAGGGACUGAGAGCUCUCGGGGGUGCAGGGACGCGUACCGGAUCGCUAAGGGUGAGCGGCACCUCCUGGUCACACUCCUUCUAGCUCGAGCCACAAUUAGGCUCCGCCCACCUAGGGCCACCAGACUUGGACCAGCUUCCUCCCACCUGGCUGGACUAGCAGCAGGGCCUCUUAAGGAAACUCAGGCCUCUAGGGACGUGGCCGCUCCAGGACUACAGGCGGUUGGGGGAGGGAGGCUAGAAUUGUGACCUAACCAGACCUUAAACCAGGGAUCGAUGUGAGGCCGCUUGGACAGCCCUCACCCACUCCGCUGCAGCCGUCACCAAAGCCGGCGCUGUUUCCUGCCCCUCCUGUCCGGAACAAUUUGAGGAACCAACUUAAUCGCCGGGGAGUGAGAGCGAGAGGCUUCUAGGCGCUCUCCACAACUUUGGCGGAGACUAGCUGGAUUGUGGAGAGGAAGAUGGAAAGUGGGGGAGAUGUUCGGGAUUCCUGGUCAAGAUGUAUCAAUAUGACAGAUCUCAUUAGCUUUGGGGGGGGGGGGGCUUGUUUCAAACUUGAAUGGAACCGUCUGUGCAAAGUGAUGUUUAUGACAAGCUAGUUGUGCUUCCCGGGGUCAGGGAGGAGGGGUGGACAUCUCCUUGCGUGGGCAGCUGUGUGCCAGUCAGGUGAGUGCUGCGCAGAACCCUGGGUACUUGUGUAAUUAGCAUGAAGUUAUUGGUUCUGCUUUACUGGACCUCAGUGCUACCACCCGUGUUUCAAGACGGACUUUGAUGGACGAUGGACAUUUGGCUAAAAUGAUCUGCUUCCAUGUGCCUGUCCUCCUCUUGUUUUGUGAAGAGUGACAAGAGACAAUUCAUCUGAACCCACCAAGUGGGCUUUGAUUCGAAGUGAAGGCAUAUCAGAUUUUAAAAGUUGUCAGAAAGUGUAUCCUAUUGGUGGAUCCGAAAAGAAAGCACAAAGAACAAGCUAAUAGAAGGAGUUAGUUUAUGGGAGAUGGUGGCUCACACAUUUAAUCCUAGCACUCAGGAGGCAGAGGCAGGCAGAUCUCUGAGUUCCAGACCAGCCUGGUCUACAGAGUGAGUUCGAAGACAGCCAGAGAUACACAGAGAAACCCUGAUUUGAAAAAACAAACAAACAAACAAACAAACAAAAACAUCUUUUUAACCUGGGUGGUGGUGUUGCAAGCCUUUAAUCCUAGCCUGGAGAGGUAGAGGUUUGAGGCCAGCCUGGUCUACAGAGUGAGUUCCAGGACAGCCAGAGAUACACAGAGAAACCCUGUCUUGGGGGUGGGGUGGGGGCGGGGAGAGUUUAAACCUGGGUCCUCCCUAGGAAAACUCUAGGGUAAAGUGUUUCAAGAAUAUGCCAACAGUUUCAGUGUGGUGGCUCAUACUGAUAAUUUCAUCACUGGGGGAGCUGAGGCAGGAGGAUAGAGUUCAAAGCUAGCCUAAAGUUACAGGGUAAGGGGCUGGUGAGAUGGCUCAGUGGUUAAGAGCGCCGACUGCUCUUCUGAGGGUCCCGAGUUCAAAUCCCAGCAGCCACAUGGUGGCUCACAACCAUCCAUAACUAAAUCUGAUGCCCUCUUCUGGAGUGUCUUCAGACAGCUACAGUAUACUUACCUAUAAUAAU
rnacentral:lncRNA from 1 species